GUUUUUUUUUUUUUUUUUUUUUUUUUUU
rnacentral:ribozyme from 1 species